CGCACCUUGCGCUUGUUGGUAUUCCGACAAGCAUGCCUGUUUGAGUGUCAUUAAAUUCUCAACCUCAACACUUUUGUGAUUGAUGGCUUGGAUGUGGAGGUUUUUCUGCAGGCUGAUAAAGUCUGCUCCUCUCAAAUGAAUUAGUGGGUGCCCCGCGCAAACCUAUCUAUUGGUGUGAUAAUUAUCUACGCCGUGGAUUAUAGGAUUGCUGUAAAAAGGUGUUUGCCCUGCUUCUAACCGUCCUCUGGACAACUUGAACCAUUUGACCUCAAAUCAGGUAGGACUACCCGCUGAACUUAA
rnacentral:misc_RNA from 1 species